CGGAAGUGCUGAGGUCACGUGUUUUGUGCAGGAUUGCGUAGUAUAAAAAUGACGUCACGUCUUCCCAUCGUCCUUUUUUUAUCUGUGCCGUGUGGUGGUUGAGGGAGUGUGGCAUUGCCUUUUGGGAAGGCAGCCAUGAUGUCCUGGAGUCUGGAUGUGUUGCAGAUGAAGGUGGGAGACGUGCAGAGGUUCCUCCCUGCCGGAACCCACGUGGGAGACUACACCUACAACUGUAAGAGGAAGGGUGACGGUUAGGAGGGGAUCUGGAUCGAGCGCUAUCCAAAUGAUGAGAUGGUCCUGAAGUUUCCUUCUGCCACUGGUGCCAUCACCUUUGCUGAUUGGUUCCUGACUGGUACCUUCACCAAUCAGAUCCAGGGUGCUGUCGGAGUCCCGCCUCUGGAUCCUCACUGACCUGCUGGGCUGACCUCCAGCCGCUGUCUGCGCCAUCCUACGUUAACAUUCCCAGUGUCUCCGCACUGAGAAAUGUGGAUCUCUCUCUCCCCUGCUACAGCCAGAGGCCUGAAGAGGACAACGAGCCGCAGGAUUGGUCAGCUGCUCCAGCUGCUCCAGCUGCGCAGGUGUUCGUCUGGGGCGACCUCGGUGCGGAGGAAAAUCAGUCAAUAAAAUGGUUGUUUAAUCAAAAA